rnacentral:rRNA from 1 species
AUUGAACGCUGGCGGCAGGCCUAACACAUGCAAGUCGAACGAGGGGCGGACGGGUGAAUAAUGUCUGGAAAACUGCCUGCUGGAGGGGGAAAACUACUGGAACCGGGAGCUAAUACCGCAUACCAUCAGAUGUGCCCAGAUGGGAUUAUCUUGUUGGUGGGGUAACGGGUCACCGAGGCGACGAUCCCUGGCUGGGCGGAGAGGAUGACGAGCCAAGCUGGAACUGAGACACGGUGCAGAGUCCUAGGGGAGGCAGCGGGGGGGAAGAGUGGACAAUGGGCGCAAGCCUGAUGGACCCAUGCCGCGUGUAUGAAGAAGGCCUGCGGGGUGUAAAGUACUUACAGCGGGUAGGCGGUACCCGGAGAAGAAGCACCGGCUAACUCCGUGCCAGCAGCCGCGGUAAUAC